AUGUCGUCAGCUGGUGUCAUUGCGCUUGCUCCGAUGACCGACGACCUCGCCUUCUUGCCCAUCAGGUUUGAUGGCAGUCGUUCAGCACACUGUUUCUCCGGGUCACAGCUGCAGGAUUCCAUUCUCAUCUUCCUUGCUGUGCCUGGUGCGCCUCCAAUGCCGAUGAGUGUGCUGGGCACUGAUUCCAUCGCUUCGGUGAAGCUGCGCAUCCAGAGGUUCAAGGGCUUUGUGGUGACAAAGCAGCGGCUCGUGCUCGACGGGCACGAGCUGGCGCGCAACAACUGCCCUGUCAAGGAUUAUGGGCUUGCCGAUGGGAAUGUUCUGCACCUUGUUAUCCGCUUGGCUGACCUCCGGGUGAUUAACAUCGAAACCGCCAGUGGGAAGAAAUUUCAGUUUCAGGUGGACCAGAGCCGCAAUGUCAAGUACCUCAAGAGUAAGCUUGCAGUGGAGGGUGAUGAGGACCUUGAUAGCCUGGAGGAUGAUGACAAGCUCGAGUACGAUGGAGAGGUGCUUGAGGACCACCAGUUGAUUGCUGAUAUUAGCAACAAGGAUGAUGCUGUGAUUCAUUUGUUCAUCCGCAAACCAGCAAAGGUACGAACACAGCAAGUUGAUAAGGAUACUGUGGUCACAGUUGACAACCCUCAGAAGAAAGAGAACCUACAGAAUGAAUCUGUUGUGGUGACCCCUGCAAAACCAGCUGGUGGCAAGCCUGCUCCUAUCGAACCAAUUGUUGUUAACCGGAAGGCGAAGCUGUCGUCUGAAGUGAUGAAAAUGAUUGACUCAGCAAUAGCUGGUCUUGAGAAUGGAUAUACACCAGUUAUGUCAGCAGAAGGUUCAGGGGGUGUUUACUUCAUGCAAGACUCAUCAGGCCAGAAGAAUGUUGCAGUGUUUAAGCCCAUUGAUGAGGAACCUAUGGCUGAAAACAACCCAAGGGGUCAUCCACUGUCGACUGAUGGGGAAGGCAUGAAGAGAGGAACGCGUGUAGGGGAAGGUGCACUAAGGGAAGUUGCGGCUUAUAUUCUCGACCAUGCAGUUGGUGAUCGUGAAUCGGGCCACGGUGUUGGGUUUUCUGGUGUGCCUCCCACAGCAUUAGUCCGAAGCUUACAUAGGGGAAAGAGCUUCAAGUUUGGAUCUCUGCAGAUGUUUAUGGAGAACGAUGGAAGUUGCGAGGAUAUGGGUCCCCGUGCUUUUCCAGUGAAGGAGGUACACAAAAUAGCAGUGUUAGAUAUUAGGUUAGCGAAUGCUGAUCGUCAUGCAGGGAACAUUCUAGUGUCCAAGGAAGAAGGUGCCACCUGCAAGCUGAUUCCAAUUGAUCAUGGCUACUGCCUGCCAGAGAAGUUUGAGGAUUGCACCUUCGAGUGGCUUUACUGGCCUCAAGCCCGUGAGCGGUUCAGUGAUGAAACCAUUGCAUACAUUGAAUCUCUUGACGCGGAAGAGGACAUCAAGCUUCUCAGGUUCCACGGGUGGGAGCUGUCUUCGAGCUGCGCCCGCGUCCUGCGCAUCAGCACCAUGCUCCUGAAGAAGGGCGCGGCGCGAGGCCUCACACCCUAUGACAUAGGACGUAUACUGUGCAGGGAGACUGUGAAUAGAGACUCUGUGAUCGAGGACAUCAUCCAGGAAGCGGAGGACGCCGUCCUCCCGGGGACGAGCGAGAACCUGUUCCUGGAGACGGUGUCCGAGAUCAUAGACCGCCACCUCCUCGGCAAGUAA
rnacentral:rRNA from 1 species